ACAGAAACCCCUGGCAACAACAACUGCCAGGAGGAGGAGCCAGAGCAGGAACUGGAGCCGGCUAUUAACAUCUGCCAUGAGACUCCAGCAUUCCCUGAGAAUAACACCUGUCAGGAGGAAGAGCUGAUAGUGGAGGUGAGCGCCGACACCCGCCCCUCCCACUACCAGGAAUCUUUAGAUGAGAGCCCUCAGCUUAACACCAGUGAGGUAUGGGCCAAAUAUUUUGCAGGGGUCCCAAUGUGUUUAAAAGGGCUCAGUUUGUA